GUUUAAUUUCUAAUCUCACGUUAAACUUGAUCAUCUAGAUGUAACUCUGAACGUAAAGGGACAAGAAUGCUACACAAUAUUAAACCUGUAUCUAAAGUGGCUCAGAUUUUCUUUUUUUUCAGAUUACAGCACUAUCUCUUGCAAUUCUGAGUUUUUUGGCAACCUGAUAGUGACUCAUUUUAUGCCACUUGCCUUCUCACCAUCUUUGUAUGACCUUCUUACUCCACUUGUGCCUUCAUUAUGGUUAGAUGCUCAUCUUCGAAUAUAACCUCAAGAUGGUCAGUGUCAUUCUCCAUCCACUAGCACGAGCGAGCACAUGACAGACCGCUGCAUGGUAGGAGUUUUAACCUAAAAAAAAAGGUUAAAAAUAAAUAAACCAGCCUUAUCACCUAAAUUUUAGAUGGUUUAAAAACUUUAAAAUUCAUACCUUUUCUUCAGAUGCUUCUUUCAAAAGUGUUGCAACUCUUCUGAAAAAAAUGUUGGUUUCGGUUUCCAUAGGGACGCGAUGUUUCUCAAACAUUGCAUCUUUGGAAAUGCAGCACC
rnacentral:lncRNA from 1 species